GUAGUCUCGCACAGAUGCAUAUCAAUAAGCGGAGGAAAAGAAACUAACAAGGAUUCCCCUAGUAACGGCGAGUGAAGCGGGAAGAGCUCAAAUUUGAAAUCUUAAAGGGUUUCCCUUUACGAAUUGUAGUUUAAAGAAGUGUUUUCUGUUGAGGUUUUGGUAAAAGUUCUUUGGAAUAGGACAUCAUAGAGGGUGAGAAUCCCGUAUUUGACCUUUACUUUCAACUUUGUGAUACACUUUCAAAGAGUCGGAUUGUUUGGGAAUGCAGUCCAAAAUGGGUGGUAAAUUUCAUCUAAGCUAAAUAUUGGCGAGAGACCGAUAGCGAACAAGUACCGUGAGGGAAAGAUGAAAAGAACUUUGAAAAGAGAGUUAAACAGUACGUGAAAUUGUCAAAGGGGAAGCGUUUGACACCAGUGUUGUUUUUCUGAAAAUCAAUUAAAGAACUGUUUAUGCUAAGCUGUUUAGACUUUAUCAGCUAUCUGUUUAGUUUUGAGCUUUUCUUUAAUGCACUUUUCAGUUAACAAGUCAACAUCAAUUUCUUUUGCUGUAAAAAAGCUUGAGGAAGGUGGCUUGAGAUUCGUCUUAAGUGUUUAUAGCCUCUUGCCUAUGCAGUCGGAGAGAUUGAGGUCUGCAGCGUAGAUCCUUCGGGGCUAAAUGCAUUUGUGCUAAGUUAUAGCAUUUUAUAGACAACUUGUUGACUAUGAUUUGUCUUGUAGCUUACUCGCUUAUGUUAUUUUACCUACGCUUAGGAUGUUGAGCGCAUGUCUCUCUCU
rnacentral:rRNA from 1 species